UGUGCGCGCGAGAAGAAAUACUGUCCGGGGCACGAGACAGACGUGAGGCGGCGGAGUCUUAUCGGAUAUUCUGGUUUUAAUCCGGUAUUUUAUUGGCUUCAUUUCCAGAGCUUUAACCCUGAAAGGCAGCUGGUCUCUUUUAAAGGAUUUGACUGGGUUUUUUUGGGAUUUUUUUUUUGUAGAUUAGCGUUUAGAGUCUGUAACGUCUCCUCUUCUUUUCCACGCCACAUAUUUAAGAGCUCUCUGUAUGAAUAGUUUUCUCGUUCCUCUGUCUCCACGGACUUCGGUGUUUGCUGCUGGAGGAGCAUUUUUACCGAUUCGAGAUGACGGAAAUCAGCGAAAAAGAAAGCGAACCUCAGAACCGGGACCUAAACCGGCAGGGUACCACCGUGUCCGGUCAGCCGGAAUCAAAGCUGCAGCGGCUGAAGCGCUCCCUGUCCCUCAAAUCAGUCAUACGCAGCAAGAGCGUGGAUAACUUCUUCCAACGGAGCAACGGCGAAUCUCGGCCAGCCUCGGCCUUCAUCACAGCGCCACCACCUCCAUCUUCUCCUCCUCCCUUCUCUGAAUCCCCUCUGGGCUAUGAGCGCUCUCCCUCUCUAUCCCCAUCAGUCAGCCCCAACCCUUCCUUGUCUUCUCAUUCCCCUUCCAUCAGCCCUUCGCUGUCCCGGACCUUAAAGAGCCAGCUGAAGUCUCAGCCAAUGCAACCGGUCAAAACUCACUGUUUCCAGGAGCAUGUCUUCCGAAGGCCUACCAGCUGCCAGCGAUGCAAACAUAUGAUCCAAGGAAAUUCCAAGCAAGGGCUGCGUUGUAAAGCCUGCAAGCUGGCGGCUCAUCUUUGGUGUUCCUCUGAACUGUCUCAGCAGGCCUGUAACGGCAAGUCUGGAGCAUUUAAGAGAAACUUCAGCUCUCCUCUGCUAACCAUUGAUCCACUGAGUAUAGUCAAGGAGGCUCCGGCUGCCCAGGAGAUGGAGAAUGUCGUUGUUGACCCGGUAUAUGAAGCACUGCGUUAUGGGACGUCAUUGGCUCAGUUAAGUCGCUCCAGCUUUGGAAGUAUCUCCGAAUCCCCUUGUCAUGAGUCUGAUACAGUGCAAGGUAAACUAGAAAACCAACCAAUCGCUGAAGAGGAAAUUAUUCCAGGAAUGCUCACCCCUCCUGAAAGCGAGAAGGCUGAUUCAGAGGACAGGGUCAGCCUGAAGACUCCGAAGCGAGUCGAAGUUCACUCCAUUCACACGUACAUCGCCCUCUACAAGUUUCUGCCUCAGGAGAAGAAUGACCUGGAACUACAGUUAGCCUGGCGACCGAAUUCAAGUCACGGACGACUCCAACGAAGACUGGUGGAAGGGGAAAAGCAGAGACAAGGUGGGAUUUUUCCCAGCCAACUUUGUCCAGCGGGUCCGACCGGGUGAGCGGGUGUGGAAGGUCACCGCUGCUUUCCAUGGCAACCGAGACAACGGCCAGAUGACUGUGAAAGAGAAUCAGAUCUGCAUCGGAAAAAACGAGGAGAUUGACGGCUUCCUUCGGCUGACUAGCGGGAAGAAGAGAGGCCUUGUCCCUGUGAUGUUUCUGCUGGAAAUAUGACGGCAAUAUUUCAGAUUUCUCCUUGAUUUAGCAGAGGAGCUCCCAGGGAGGAGGAAUACUCAGGAGUGUUUAGCCAACACCUCACUGACAAGUAUCCACCCUCCUCCACCCCUCCAAGUAUCACUGCUGCAUCUUGAGUGGAAAACAGCCUGCAGCUUUGGCUUUUUGGCUGAAGAUUAAGACAACCAGGAGCUUCUUCAGAGCUACUUUGCUUGUAGCACAGCUUCACUUUGUGAAGCUUCUUAUAUUUUCACCAGAGGUAUGUAGCAAUUAUUUUCAAGAGAAUGAGUGUGAAGGUACUCUGGCUACCUCAUUAGCCGUCUACACUGGCCACUCACUCACAAAAAAAGGGUAAAGGACUUUUUUGUCAUGAUGUCAAGGCAUGUCGAAGUUAUUUGUGAAAAGAAAACUUUGGAUAAUACACUGUAUGUGUAUUGCUGUUGCUUGUGCAAACCAGUUUUUGGUUGAGUAGAGAGAAGAUUAAUAAUUUUGGUCACGAUGUCCAGGUUUAACGGUACAUAACUCAGAUUCUCAAACAUAAAAUGAUCCAGGUAUUACUGUGUACUAAUGUCUUUUCUGCUCUAUCUUGGUCCAAUCAAAGUCACAACACACCCUUUCUCUGUCACGCACUCAAGGGUUUUCCCUGCAUCCCAAAACGCUUUUCGGUGAUUACAGAAUGGCACAUUUGCACUCUUCACAGUUUCAACGUGACAAAUACUUGCAUGCACCUUGGGGAGCUCUUAGUUUGCCCUUCAAAGGUUCUCCCGUCCACACGAUAUUCCAGAGGGUUUGUAUUUUCACUUUCUUCUAUGUAGCUCAAUGGACCAUUAGGAUUGGCGUCCUGUUGUUGCAUCAUAAACAUAAAUUAUCUAAGGCUACGUUCACACUGCAGCCCAAAGUGACUCAAAUCUGGGUUGGUUUUUUUUUGUCAAAUUGGAUUUUCUUUUUUUUCUUUUUUUUUGCCGUGGCUGUUCACAUUUCCAAAUAUGUGCAACCUGUACGUGAUCUCCAGCGUAAACUGCAAAUGACCUGAAAG